rnacentral:rRNA from 1 species
CCUACGGGAGGCAGCAGUGGGGAAUAUUGGACAAUGGGCGAAAGCCUGAUCCAGCCAUGCCGCGUGUGUGAAGAAGGCCUUCGGGUUGUAAAGCACUUUCAGUGGGGAAGAAAGCCUUGGGGCUAAUACCCUCUAGGAAGGACAUCACCCACAGAAGAAGCACCGGCUAACUCCGUGCCAGCAGCCGCGGUAAUACGGAGGGUGCGAGCGUUAAUCGGAAUUACUGGGCGUAAAGGGCGCGUAGGCGGUCUGAUAAGCCGGUUGUGAAAGCCCCGGGCUCAACCUGGGAACGGCAUCCGGAACUGUCAGGCUAGAGUGCAGGAGAGGAAGGUAGAAUUCCCGGUGUAGCGGUGAAAUGCGUAGAGAUCUGGAGGAAUACCAGUGGCGAAGGCGGCCUUCUGGACUGACACUGACGCUGAGGUGCGAAAGCGUGGGUAGCAAACAGGAUUAGAUACCCCAGUAGUC